rnacentral:rRNA from 1 species
UACGGAGGGUGCAAGCGUUAUCCGGAUUCACUGGGUUUAAAGGGUGCGUAGGCGGGCAGGUAAGUCCGUGGUGAAAUCUCUGAGCUUAACUCAGAAACUGCCAUGGAUACUAUUUGUCUUGAAUAUUGUGGAGGUAAGCGGAAUAUGUCAUGUAGCGGUGAAAAUGCUUAGAUAUGACAUAGAACACCAAAUUGCGAAGGCAGCUUACUACACAGUUAUUGACGCUGAGGCACGAAAAGCGUGGGGGAGCGAACAGG